rnacentral:rRNA from 1 species
GACGAACGCUGGCGGCGUGCUUAACACAUGCAAGUCGAACGAUGAAGCUGGAGCUUGCUCCGGUGGAUUAGUGGCGAACGGGUGAGUAACACGUGAGUAAUCUGCCCUUGACUCUGGGAUAACUGCGGGAAACUGUAGCUAAUACCGGAUACGACACCUUCGGGCAUCCGAUGGGUGUGGAAAGAAUUUCGGUCAAGGAUGAACUCGCGGCCUAUCAGCUAGUUGGUGAGGUAAUGGCUCACCAAGGCGACGACGGGUAGCCGGCCUGAGAGGGUGACCGGCCACACUGGGACUGAGACACGGCCCAGACUCCUGCGGGAGGCAGCAGUGGGGAAUAUUGCACAAUGGGGGAAAGCCUGAUGCAGCAACGCCGCGUGAGGGAUGAAGGCCUUCGGGUUGUAAACCUCUUUUAGUUGGGAAGAAGCGAAAGUGACGGUACCAACAGAAAAAGCACCGGCUAACUACGUGCCAGCCGCCGCGGUAA